UACGUAGGGGGCAAGCGUUGUCCGGAAUCAUUGGGCGUAAAGCGCGUGUAGGCGGCCCGGUAAGUCCGCUGUGAAAGUCAGGGGCUCAACCCUUCGGAAUGCCGGUGGAUACUGUCGGAGCUAGAGUCCGGAAGAGGCGAGUGGAAUUCCUGGUGUAGCGGUGAAAUGCGCAGAUAUCAGGAGGAACACCGAUGGCGAAGGCAGCUCGCUGGGACGGUACUGACGCUGAGGCGCGAAAGCGUGGGGAGCAAACAGG
rnacentral:rRNA from 1 species